rnacentral:rRNA from 1 species
GACGAACGCUGGCGGCGUGCUUAACACAUGCAAGUCGAACGGAAAGGCCCUGCUUUUGUGGGGUGCUCGAGUGGCGAACGGGUGAGUAACACGUGAGUAACCUGCCCUUGACUUUGGGAUAACUUCAGGAAACUGGGGCUAAUACAGGAUAGGAGCUCCUGCUGCAUGGUGGGGGUUGGAAAGUUUCGGCGGUUGGGGAUGGACUCGCGGCUUAUCAGCUUGUUGGUGGGGUAGUGGCUUACCAAGGCUUUGACGGGUAGCCGGCCUGAGAGGGUGACCGGCCACAUUGGGACUGAGAUACGGCCCAGACUCCUACGGGAGGCAGCAGUGGGGAAUAUUGCACAAUGGGCGGAAGCCUGAUGCAGCAACGCCGCGUGCGGGAUGACGGCCUUCGGGUUGUAAACCGCUUUCGCCUGUGACGAAGCGUGAGUGACGGUAAUGGGUAAAGAAGCACCGGCUAACUACGUG